rnacentral:rRNA from 1 species
AUUGAACGCUGGCGGCAUGCCUUACACAUGCAAGUCGAACGGCAGCACGGACUUCGGUCUGGUGGCUAGUGGCGAACGGGUGAGUAAUGUAUCGGAACGUACCUUUCAGUGGGGGAUAACGUAGCGAAAGUUACGCUAAUACCGCAUAUUCUGUGAGCAGGAAAGCAGGGGAUCGAAAGACCUUGCGCCGAUUGAGCGACCGAUAUCAGAUUAGCUAGUUGGUGGGGUAAAGGCCUACCAAGGCGACGAUCUGUAGCGGGUCUGAGAGGAUGAUCCGCCACACUGGAACUGAGAACCGGUCAAGACUCCUACGGGAGGCAGCAGAGGGGAAUUUUGGAAAAUGGCGGCAACCCUGAUCCAGCACGGCGGCGUGAGUGAAGAAGGCCUUCGGGUGGUAAAGCUCUUUCGGACGGGAAGAAAUCGCAUAGGCUAAUAACCUGUGUGGAUGACGGUAACGGAACAAGAAGCAACGGCUAACUACGUG